UACGAAGGGGGCUAGCGUUGCUCGGAAUCACUGGGCGUAAAGCGCACGUAGGCGGAUCUUUAAGUCAGGGGUGAAAUCCUGGAGCUCAACUCCAGAACUGCCUUUGAUACUGGGGAUCUCGAGUCCGGAAGAGGUGAGUGGAACUCCGAGUGUAGAGGUGAAAUUCGUAGAUAUUCGGAAGAACACCAGUGGCGAAGGCGGCUCACUGGUCCGGUACUGACGCCGAGGUGCGAAAGCGUGGGGAGCAAACAGG
rnacentral:rRNA from 1 species